UGGCUGCUGCCGCCUGGGUGGUGAGUCAGCACCAGGAUCCUGCCAGCUAUUCCCACAGGUCUUUCUCCAAAGCCUCCUUCCCCAGUCUCUCCUCAGGCGUCUCCAGCCCACUCUGCCCCAGCCUUUGCCAGAGACCAGGUUUACAGAGUACUCUCAAUUCAGACACCAGCCAAGCGCAGAGUUUGGUAAACUCAGGGGAAGUGGCUCCAGCAGAGACUGCCUGAGACAGAGCGCCAUCUUCUAACAAUGGACCCUUGUAACUGUUUAUUUUCUAGAUUCUACUUACAAGUGAAAUCAUAUGGUACUUGUCUUUUUCUGACUGGCUUAUUUCACUUGGCAUAAUGGUCUCCAGGUCCAUCCAAGCUAUCGCAAAGGGGAGAGAGCGAGCAAGAGAGAGAGAAACAAUUGAUAUGUGAAAAAAUGAUUGAUUGCCUCACACAUACUCCCAAUCAGGGACCUGGCCUGCAACCUGGGCUUGUGCCCUGACCAGGAAUCAAACUGGUGACAUUUUGGUUUGCAGGCUGGCACUCAACCCCCUGAGCCACACCAACCAGGGACAUUUCCAAUUUUUUGAGCUAACUCCAUACUGCUUUCCACAGCAGCUGCACCAAUCUGCAUUCCCUCCAAAAGCUCAUGAGGGCUCCCUUUUCUCCACAUCUUUGCCAACAGUUGUCGUUUGUUGAUUUAUUGAUGAUAGCCAUUCUGACAGGUAUGAGGUGAUACCUCAUUGUGGUUUUAAUUUGCAUUUCCCUGAUGAUUAAUGACAUUGAGCACCUUUUCCUUAUGUCUAUUGGCCAUGUGCAUGUCCCCUUUGGCGAAGUGUUUAUUAGGGUAAUUUUGAUAAUGGCAAUGAAGUAGGUAUAAAAGAAUAUAAGUUUUGUCAUUUACCAAAGAACAGUUUCUAAGGCUUGAUUAAACAUCUAAA